rnacentral:rRNA from 1 species
GACAGAGGGUGCAAACGUUGUUCGGAUUUACUGGGCGUAAAGCGCGUGUAGGCGGCUUUGCAAGUCGGAUGUGAAAGCCCACGGCUCAACCGUGGAAGUGCAUCCGAAACUGCAUGGCUGGAGUCUCGGAGAGGAAGGUGGAAUGCUUGGUGUAGAGGUGAAAUUCGUAGAUAUCAAGCAGAACACCUGCGGCGAAGGCGGCCUUCUGGACGAUGACUGACGCUGAGACGCGAAAGCUAGGGGAGCGAACGGG